rnacentral:rRNA from 1 species
GAUGAACGCUGGCGGCGUGCUUAACACAUGCAAGUCGAACGAUGAAGCCCAGCUUGCUGGGUGGAUUAGUGGCGAACGGGUGAGUAACACGUGAGUAACCUGCCCUUGACUCUGGGAUAAGCCUGGGAAACUGGGUCUAAUACUGGAUAUGACCUCUCAUCGCAUGGUGGGGGGUGGAAAGAUUUAUUGGUCUUGGAUGGACUCGCGGCCUAUCAGCUUGUUGGUGAGGUAAUGGCUCACCAAGGCGACGACGGGUAGCCGGCCUGAGAGGGUGACCGGCCACACUGGGACUGAGACACGGCCCAGACUCCUACGGGAGGCAGCAGUGGGGAAUAUUGCACAAUGGGCGCAAGCCUGAUGCAGCGACGCCGCGUGAGGGAUGACGGCCUUCGGGUUGUAAACCUCUUUCAGUAGGGAAGAAGCGAGAGUGACGGUACCUGCAGAAGAAGCGCCGGCUAACUACGUG